UUGCGGAUGUGAUGAGAACCGUCGCUUUCUACCCAGGGCUGUGCGCAAGCACGCCGCUGCGGAUUCGACAAAUUUGCACGUCAGUCUGAUCCGCAA
rnacentral:snoRNA from 1 species